CCUACGGGAGGCAGCAGUAGGGAAUAUUGCUCAAUGGGGGAAACCCUGAAGCAGCAACGCCGCGUGGAGGAUGAAGGUUCUCGGAUUGUAAACUCCUUUUGUUAGAGAAGAUAAUGACGGUAUCUAACGAAUAAGCACCGGCUAACUCCGUGCCAGCAGCCGCGGUAAUACGGGAGGUGCAAGCGUUACUCGGAAUCACUGGGGGUAAAGAGCGAGUAGGCGGGAUAGCAAGUGAGAUGUGAAAUCCUAUGGCUUAACCAUAGAACUGCAUUUGAAACUGUUAUUCUAGAGUAUGGGAGAGGUAGGUGGAAUUCUUGGUGUAGGGGUAAAAUCCGUAGAGAUCAAGAGGAAUACUCAUUGCGAAGGCGACCUGCUAGAACAUAACUGACGCUGAUGCGCGAAAGCGUGGGGAGCGAACAGGAUUAGAUACCCUUGUAGUC
rnacentral:rRNA from 1 species